UUUCAGCUAGUUGUGAGGUAAUGGCUCACCAAGGCGACGACGGGUACCCGCCUGAGAGGGCGACCGGCCACACUGGGACUGAGACACGGCCCAGAUUCCUACGGGAGGCAGCAGUGGGGAAUAUUGCACAAUGGGCGAAAGCCUGAUGCAGCGACGCCGCGUGAGGGAUGACGGCCUUCGGGUUGUAACCUCUUUCAGCAGGGAAGAAGCGAAAGUGACGGUACCUGCAGAAGAAGCGCCGGCUAACUACGUGCCAGCAGCCGCGGUAAUACGUAGGGCGCAAGCGUUGUCCGGAAUUAUUGGGCGUAAAGAGCUCGUAGGCGGCUUGUCACGUCGGUUGUGAAAGCCCGGGGCUUAACCCCGGGUCUGCAGUCGAUACGGGCAGGCUAGAGUUCGGUAGGGGAGAUCGGAAUUCCUGGUGUAGCGGUGAAAUGCGCAGAUAUCAGGAGGAACACCGGUGGCGAAGGCGGAUCUCUGGGCCGAUACUGACGCUGAGGAGCGAAAGCGUGGGGAGCGAACAGGAUUAGAUACCCUGGUAGUCCACGCCGUAAACGGUGGGCACUAGGUGUGGGCAACAUUCCACGUUGUCCGUGCCGCAGCUAACGCAUUAAGUGCCCCGCCUGGGGAGUACGGCCGCAAGGCUAAAACUCAAAGGAAUUGACGGGGGCCCGCACAAGCGGCGGAGCAUGUGGCUUAAUUCGACGCAACGCGAAGAACCUUACCAAGGCUUGACAUACACCGGAAAACCCUGGAGACAGGGUCCCCCUUGUGGUCGGUGUACAGGUGGUGCAUGGCUGUCGUCAGCUCGUGUCGUGAGAUGUUGGGUUAAGUCCCGCAACGAGCGCAACCCUUGUCCCGUGUUGCCAGCAGGCCCUUGUGGUGCUGGGGACUCACGGGAGACCGCCGGGGUCAACUCGGAGGAAGGUGGGGACGACGUCAAGUCAUCAUGCCCCUUAUGUCUUGGGCUGCACACGUGCUACAAUGGCCGGUACAAUGAGCUGCGAUACCGCGAGGUGGAGCGAAUCUCAAAAAGCCGGUCUCAGUUCGGAUUGGGGUCUGCAACUCGACCCCAUGAAGUCGGAGUCGCUAGUAAUCGCAGAUCAGCAUUGCUGCGGUGAAUACGUUCCCGGGCCUUGUACACACCGCCCGUCACGUCUCGAAAGUCGGUAACACCCGAAGCCGGGGCCCAACCCCUUGUGGGAGGG
rnacentral:rRNA from 1 species